GACGAACGCUGGCGGCGUGCUUAACACAUGCAAGUCGAACGAUGAAGCCUAGCUUGCUAGGUGGAUUAGUGGCGAACGGGUGAGUAAUACGUGAGUAACCUACCUUUAACUCUGGGAUAAGCCUGGGAAACUGGGUCUAAUACCGGAUACGACCAAUCUCCGCAUGGGGUGUUGGUGGAAAGCGUUAUGUAGUGGUUAUAGAUGGGCUCACGGCCUAUCAGCUUGUUGGUGAGGUAACCGCUCACCAAGGCGACGACGGGUAGCCGGCCUGAGAGGGUGACCGGCCACACUGGGACUGAGACACGGCCCAGGCUCCUACGGGAGGCAGCAGUGGGGAAUAUUGCACAAUGGGCGCAAGCCUGAUGCAGCGACGCCGCGUGAGGGAUGACGGCCUUCGGGUUGUAAACCUCUGUUAGCAGGGAAGAAGAGAGAUUGACGGUACCUGCAGAGAAAGCGCCGGCUAACUACGUG
rnacentral:rRNA from 1 species